rnacentral:rRNA from 1 species
AGAGUUUGAUCAUGGCUCAGGACGAACGCUGGCGGCGUGCCUAAUACAUGCAAGUAGAACGCUGAAGGAGGAGCUUGCUUCUCUGGAUGAGUUGCGAACGGGUGAGUAACGCGUAGGUAACCUGCCUGGUAGCGGGGGAUAACUAUUGGAAACGAUAGCUAAUACCGCAUAAGAGUAGAUGUUGCAUGACAUUUGCUUAAAAGGUGCAAUUGCAUCACUACCAGAUGGACCUGCGUUGUAUUAGCUAGUUGGUGAGGUAACGGCUCACCAAGGCGACGAUACAUAGCCGACCUGAGAGGGUGAUCGGCCACACUGGGACUGAGACACGGCCCAGACUCCUACGGGAGGCAGCAGUAGGGAAUUUUGGACAAUGGGCGCAAGCCUGAUCCAGCCAUGCCGCGUGUCUGAAGAAGGCCUUCGGGUUGUAAAGGACUUUUGUCAGGGAAGAAAAGGGCGGGGUUAAUACCCCUGUCUGAUGACGGUACCUGAAGAAUAAGCACCGGCUAACUACGUGCCAGCAGCCGCGGU